rnacentral:rRNA from 1 species
GGAAUUUUGGGCAAUGGGCGAAAGCCUGACCCAGCAACGCCGCGUGAAGGAUGAAGUCUUUCGGGAUGUAAACUUCGUAAGAAUAGGAAGAAUAAAUGACAGUACUAUUUGUAAGGUCCGGCUAACUACGUGCCAGCAGCCGCGGUAAUACGUAGGGACCAAGCGUUGUUCGGAUUUACUGGGCGUAAAGGGCGCGUAGGCGGCGUGUUAAGUCACUUGUGAAAUCUCUAAGCUUAACUUAGAACGGUCAAGUGAUACUGAUGUGCUAGAGUGCAGAAGGGGCAACCGGAAUUCUUGGUGUAGCGGUGAAAUGCGUAGAUAUCAAGAGGAACACCUGAGGUGAAGACGGGUUGCUGGGCUGACACUGACGCUGAGGCGCGAAAGCUAGGGUAGCAA